GAUGGGCCCGCGGCGCAUUAGCUAGUUGGUGAGGUAACGGCUCACCAAGGCGACGAUGCGUAGCCGACCUGAGAGGGUGAUCGGCCACACUGGGACUGAGACACGGCCCAGACUCCUACGGGAGGCAGCAGUAGGGAAUCUUCCGCAAUGGACGAAAGCCUGAUGCAGCGACGCCGCGUGAGGGAUGACGGCCUUCGGGUUGUAAACCUCUUUCAGCAGGGACGAAGCGCAAGUGACGGUACCUGCAGAAGAAGCACCGGCUAACUACGUGCCAGCAGCCGCGGUAAUACGUAGGGUGCAAGCGUUGUCCGGAAUUACUGGGCGUAAAGAGUUCGUAGGCGGUUUGUCGCGUCGUUUGUGAAAACCAGCAGCUCAACUGCUGGCUUGCAGGCGAUACGGGCAGACUUGAGUACUGCAGGGGAGACUGGAAUUCCUGGUGUAGCGGUGAAAUGCGCAGAUAUCAGGAGGAACACCGGUGGCGAAGGCGGGUCUCUGGGCAGUAACUGACGCUGAGGAACGAAAGCGUGGGUAGCGAACAGGAUUAGAUACCCUGGUAGUCCACGCCGUAAACGGUGGGCGCUAGGUGUGGGUUCCUUUC
rnacentral:rRNA from 1 species